rnacentral:lncRNA from 1 species
UGAAGAUUUACCCUGUGCUUUUCUUCCCCAGAACUCCAAACCCCAGCUGAAACACUGGGAAAACAUUAGGCAGGGCAUGGUGGCAAGACAUCCAACAGCUCUCAAAACUUCCAUGGUGACCAGAAGCAAACUAGAGGCUGCCAUACCCAAGAACAAAUGACAGUGACAUACUAACUAAACACGUUUCCUAGCCCUAUUUCCUUGAAAGCUGAAUGCUGGAAUAGGCACCUUGGCACCCUCCCUGAGCUUUGAACUUCCCCAUGGAGAGUGCUUUUCCUCAUUGCAGCAAGUGCUCACUGUGCAUGUGUUCCUAGAGACCUCCACCCUACCAAAUGGCCAUGGCCCAUUCAUGUGCUGAUAUUGAGGAGCUUCAGAUGAACUUUAGGAGCACCUUGACUGCAAACG